UGGCAUUAGUCGGGGUGCCUUAUGGCUGAGAUCAUACCCGUGAACCUGAAACAGUUAGUACUGGCGUAGGAAACUAAUUAUGUCCACAU
rnacentral:ncRNA from 2 species